AAAUAAUCAAGCUUUAUGAAGCUUUUGUACUAUUUCAGUCAUUUUACUGAAGACUGCAUGUGAGCAAUCUCAUUUAAUCUUCAGAAACAAUCCCAUUAUUAUCCUCAUUUAUCCAUAUAUUCAGAAGAAGUGAGGUGUGGAGACUUUAAAUAACUUCCAAAUGAUCACAGGACUGUAAUUAUCUGAGACAGGAUUAAACUAGGCAGCUUGACUCCAGAGGCCAUGCAUUCAGCCAUUGAAAGCUGGUUUCAAACACAGGCCUGUCUGAGCCUGCAACCUUCAGUUCUACACUAUCUAGAUUUUUCUCUUGGGAUGUGGAAAGAAGGGAUCCUUUAGGCCUGAAUGGGAUUUUGGAGAUAGUUUCAAGGCCUGAUAAUUUUGCUGGAGCCUUAUUCUACAUACUUUUUCUUGUUGGAAAUUAAAUAAUCCAUCUUAGGGAAAAAUGAUGACUUUUUCCAUUAAAACUUUGGCUAUAUCUUUACGUCAUACUUAUUAGAAAGGGCCACAGUGUAAGUUAAUAACAGCAUGAAUACACUUUGAACUAUUUGUUGCCAGAAUCAGGGGAACGAGCUUCAUUUGUUCAUGUGUGCCCCAAGAUGUGAACAUAGCAGACUGAUGAUCACCAGGAUUCUUUUACUGGGAGGAUAAGAAACAGCACUAGGAAAAAGUCAAGAAUUUUCACGAAUCUAUUUUGGAAUCUCAGAGAAGAAGUAAGGCUCAAAGAAUAGUUUAUAUUACAUUAGCCAUAAAGCUCACUAGCUGGAAUGAAAUGUAUACAGUGUUUAUGAUACAAUGCUUGUUGUUAAGAGAAGUCCUUUUGGGCACCUAUUGGUGCAAUCCAGACUUCUCGUGUCUGUCAGUCCUGUGGACAGAAUGACAGAGCAAUACCCUGUUCUGACAAGUUCUCUCUGUUCCUGCUCGUUACAGUAUCUGAGGGCAGCUGUGAAGCAUAUCCUACUAGGACAGGAAACAAGUCAGCAGCCCCACCCAGCUCCUGAGAAAGGCAGAAGGAGGGGACCAAUUCCUCAAAUGCACAGAUGCCAACAUAAGUAUAUAGUGAUCACCAAGAAUCAGCAAAGAGGAAGAAACUAGCAAAGAGGAAGAAACUAGCAAAGCCUGCUGUUGGCUAGCCUGCUGACUGCUGCACUGGGAGGAAGAUGUGACCGAACUGAGUGGACCCAGUGACACUGACAACUGCAAUGUCUUCCUUCACAGAGCUGUGCCUUUUUGAGGAAUUAUUCCAUCCUUCUAUCCUUCCCAUUUCAGACAAGAUGCGCAGUAACUUGACUCCCCUUCUGAGAGAGGGAGAGAAAAUGUUCUUCCUAUACACAAAAUCUCCCCGGGGAGAAGAAGAAGCUCUCUCUUGGAAUGUAAAUGAAGGUCUCCAAGGGGAUACAUAGACAAGCCUCUCUGGGCUUACAACCC
ensembl:lncRNA